UAUUAGGUUGGUGCAAAAGUAAUUGUGGUUUUGGGCAUUACUUUUAAUGGCAAAAACUGCAAUUACUUUUUCGCUAACCUAAUAUUCA
rnacentral:miRNA from 1 species